rnacentral:rRNA from 1 species
CUACGUAGGGGGCGAGCGUUGUCCGGAAUGAUUGGGCGUAAAGGGCGCGUAGGCGGCCCGGUAAGUCUGGAGUGAAAGUCCUGUUUUUAAGAUGGGAAUUGCUUUGGAUACUGUCGGGCUUGAGUGCAGGAGAGGUAAGUGGAAUUCCCAGUGUAGCGGUGAAAUGCGUAGAGAUUGGGAGGAACACCAGUGGCGAAGGCGACUUACUGGACUGUAACUGACGCUGAGGCGCGAAAGUGUGGGGAGCAAACAGGAUUAGAUACCCUGGUAGUCCACACUGUAAACGAUGAAUGCUAGGUGUAGGGGGUAUCGACCCCUUCUGUGCCGCAGUCAACACAAUAAGCAUUCCGCCUGGGGAGUACGGCCGCAAGGUUGAAACUUAAAGGAAUUGACGGGG